GGGAGCUUGCUCCCUGAUGUUAGCGGCGGACGGGUGAGUAACACGUGGGUAACCUGCCUGUAAGACUGGGAUAACUCCGGGAAACCGGGGCUAAUACCGGAUGCUUGUUUGAACCGCAUGGUUCAAACAUAAAAGGUGGCUUCGGCUACCACUUACAGAUGGACCCGCGGCGCAUUAGCUAGUUGGUGAGGUAAUGGCUCACCAAGGCAACGAUGCGUAGCCGACCUGAGAGGGUGAUCGGCCACACUGGGACUGAGACACGGCCCAGACUCCUACGGGAGGCAGCAGUAGGGAAUCUUCCGCAAUGGACGAAAGUCUGACGGAGCAACGCCGCGUGAGUGAUGAAGGUUUUCGGAUCGUAAAGCUCUGUUGUUAGGGAAGAACAAGUACCGUUCGAAUAGGGCGGUACCUUGACGGUACCUAACCAGAAAGCCACGGCUAACUACGUGCCAGCAGCCGCGGUAAUACGUAGGUGGCAAGCGUUGUCCGGAAUUAUUGGGCGUAAAGGGCUCGCAGGCGGUUUCUUAAGUCUGAUGUGAAAGCCCCCGGCUCAACCGGGGAGGGUCAUUGGAAACUGGGGAACUUGAGUGCAGAAGAGGAGAGUGGAAUUCCACGUGUAGCGGUGAAAUGCGUAGAGAUGUGGAGGAACACCAGUGGCGAAGGCGACUCUCUGGUCUGUAACUGACGCUGAGGAGCGAAAGCGUGGGGAGCGAACAGGAUUAGAUACCCUGGUAGUCCACGCCGUAAACGAUGAGUGCUAAGUGUUAGGGGGUUUCCGCCCCUUAGUGCUGCAGCUAACGCAUUAAGCACUCCGCCU
rnacentral:rRNA from 2 species